AGGAGAAAUGAUUAUUCUGUCUUAUACCGCCCCAGUCUGAGAAUUCAUGACUGAUUGGUAUCCUCUGAUCCC